UACGGAAGGCAGCAGUGGGGAAUAUUGCACAAUGGGCGAAAGCCUGAUGCAGCUAUGCCGCGUGUAUGAAGAAGGCCUUAGGGUUGUAAAGUACUUUCAUCGGGGAGGAAAACAAAACUAAUAAUUUUAUUUCUUGACGUUACCCGAAAAAGAAGCACCGGCUAACUCCGUGCCAGCAGCCGCGGUAAUACGGAGGGUGCUAGCGUUAAUCAGAAUUACUGGGCGUAAAGAGCACGUAGGUGGUUUUUUAAGUCAGAUGUGAAAUCCCUGGGCUUAACCUAGGAACUGCAUUUUGAAACUGAAAUACUAGAGUAUCGUAGAGGGAGGUAGAAUUCUAGGUGUAGCGGUGAAAUGCGUAGAUAUCUGGAGGAAUACCUGUGGCGAAAGCGGCCUCCUAAACGAAUACUGACACUGAGGUGCGAAAGCGUGGGGAGCAAACAGGGAUUAGAUACC
rnacentral:rRNA from 1 species